rnacentral:rRNA from 1 species
GAUGAACGCUGGCGGCGUGCCUAAUACAUGCAAGUCGAGCGAACAGACGAGGAGCUUGCUCCUCUGACGUUAGCGGCGGACGGGUGAGUAACACGUGGAUAACCUACCUAUAAGACUGGGAUAACUUCGGGAAACCGGAGCUAAUACCGGAUAAUAUAUUGAACCGCAUGGUUCAAUAGUGAAAGACGGUUUUGCUGUCACUUAUAGAUGGAUCCGCGCCGCAUUAGCUAGUUGGUAAGGUAACGGCUUACCAAGGCAACGAUGCGUAGCCGACCUGAGAGGGUGAUCGGCCACACUGGAACUGAAACACGGUCCAGGCCCCUACGGGAGGCAGCAGUAGGGAAUCUUGCGCAAAGGGGGAAAGCCUGACGGAGCAACGGCGGGUGGGUGAAGAAGGGCUUCGGAUCGGAAAACUCUGUUAUUAGGGAAGAACAAAUGUGUAAGUAACGAUGCACGUCUUGACGGUACCUAAUCAGAAAGCCACGGCUAACUACGU